ACUACCACUUCCACUUACCACUUACACUUACCACAAGCACUACCACCACCACCACCACUUCCACUUACCACUUCCACUUACCACUUCCACUUACCACUUCCACUUACCACUUCCACUUACCACUUCCACUUACCACUUCCACUUACCACUUCCACUUACCACUUCCACUUACCACUUCCAUUACUACCACGACUACCACUAACCAUCACCACUUUCAUCUCCAUUCUUGUCAUUAUUGGCUUGUUGUACGUUGUUCAAAUGUUUCAACGUAUGUACAUUUGUGACUACGAUUUCUUGUUAGCGAUAUAAACGAAGAGGAUAAAGACUUUGGAGUAAAUAAUUUUGGCCGUGCCACUAGCAUAAUGUAUUUGUGCGUCUAGGUAUCCUUAGCGUUGCAAGUGGAAAGUGGCUUCACACUAUAAAUGGUUGACACAGCUAAUACAUUAGACAUAAACUUUCUCAGCAUUCACGAACAGUAAAAAUACUAUUGGUAAAUGAUUCAUGGAUAUAUAGUAUUAGUAUUUGGCAUUCGUUUCGCUUAUGAAUUGUGAUUGAACCGAUAUCGUAUCAUCAUUAAAAGUUUCCUGUACAUCUUCUACAUCAUUCAAACAUGUGGAAGAAUCAUAAAUUUCACAAAAAUAAUGUCUCAAUCGCAUACGUAUUGUCUGCUCUGACUUGGCUUGUCUUCUGUAUGUGAUCCAAAUAGACGAGAAUGUCAAUCCAUCAUGUACGACCAAUCACACUUCCUAUAGCUGAAACCGAGUGCAAAUGCUUUUGUAGCAAUCAUGAUCUGUGCCUUUCCAAGUUAGGGGUUCCAAGACUCGUCAAAGUGAAUUUUUCAUUCUUCUUCAUUUAAAUCUCUCGUGUAAAUGGUUAUCAAGAUGUGAUGAGAGAACAAGUCAGGGUGGUCGAAAAGGAUGCUUAAUUAAUGUACGGUGAACGUUUCAUGUUUAUUCAUUGAAUCACCUUUCCAAAGUCUAUUAUUUUGUUUUUAUCAACAUUCGAAAAUUCAAGGGAAAGCUUAAAUCUCUUCUAAGAAUACAUGCAGAAACAAGAAAAAUGGUUUCCCGCCCAGUGGAUGCUUCUGUGAAUACACAAAAGUUUUGUAUGAAAGGUUAAAGCGGUUGUUUGGCACUGAAUGUAACUACCAAGGAAAAAGUAAUGCUAAGCAAAUUUAAUGAUGCAUAUAUAAUUGGGACAAUUGCAACAUUUGCAAUGUUUUGCCAAAGCGAAAUUGUAUCUUUCGUUUGCGUAUAAGGAAUGUGCCUCGUCAAAUUAUCAUCCAUCCCAGCUGAACAAAUACUGUCAAAGAUUUCAAAAAAUACCGUGAAGCAUUUGCUUUAUUAACGAUGUUACUCAAUAAAAAGAUAUUCAUUUGUGGCAUAACAAGUUCUCAAUUCGAUUCCAAGUACAUGGAGAGCGUAUGUUGAAAUUAAUAAAUCUAAAAUGGUGAUUAAGGAAGGAUUACUGUGCAUCUUUGAAAGUCAUUCAAUUCCUUAAUUAAAAACGACCAAUAUGCUGCGGUUCACCCUUAACAUCAUGUUUUUAACCAACGACAUCAUGGGUAGUAAAAUAAGUAAAACCAUAUUCAUAUUCUUUCUUAAUUUUCUCAAUUUUGAUCGUAUUUCGUUUUUUUCCACAACACCAGAUAUUAAAAUCGAUAAAGAACUUUUUCCAUCCGCAGUUGGGAGUACAUCAUUCCUACUUCGAUAUACUUUUGAAAGAGAAAAGUGAACCGAUUGGAAUUGUUUCGACAACACGAAUUUUACUUCUAGGUCAUAUAUUUAUGGCGAUGCCAAACAACAAUAUUGUUGAGACAGUAAGUUAAGCAAAUGGCUAAAUAAAUCCAAGACUGUUGUUGAGUGCUGUGGAUCUCAAUAUUAUCAGUAUCUACUCUUCUCGAUGAUCCUGUAAAUUUUUGUUAUCUUUUUUUAUUUGCAGUUACUGAUAAUACUAGCAUUUUGCAUGCUUUUUUUUAUUUGGAUGUUCUUCCAAUUGAUCAAUACAGUAACUUUAGAACUAUCAUCGCUAUGCCUUUAAAUGACCGCACUAAAAGCAUGGUACCGAAGCACUGACAUAACAGAGAGGUUCAGAAAGGAAUUUAAAGAUUGACUUUUUCGAUAAACUUCAUGUUACAAGUCUUAUCGUUUGUGUUUAUAAAUCAUCAGCCUCUCUCUAUAUCUCUAUAUCUCUAUAUCUCUAUAUAUCAGAUAUAAAGAUGCGAGUUUUGAAGUAGACAUUCCGCACAAAGUCUAGUACACCAUGUCUCUUGUGCUCAGGCUGGUUGUCCUGCAAAAAUGUACAACAGGCAAAUGGAUGUUUCAUCAAAGAUGGACUCCUUUGCCUCAUACUUAUUGAUGGCGAAGCUAGAUCCGUUAUCAUCUUGAGAAAACACAUCGUUGUCUUCAGAGUAGUGAUAGUUCUUAUCGUUGUAGUUAUAGUUGUAGUUAUAGUUAUAGUUGUAGUUGUAAUAACUCUUUCAACAAGUCCUGAAUCUUGGCAAACAGACCCUCAUACAGUGCUGUCAGCUCACUCAAGUCCAAUCGCACCAUGUUAAUUAAACGCAUCUCCAAUGCACGGGUACAUAGAAUUACUUCGAGACUGAAACAAUACGGUGCUUGGGCUUAGUCCUUGUAGUGUAUUUUGCAUACAUACCCUUCUGUUCGAAUGAUAUCCCUAAUGACUUUGUGGGUUUCGUAAAGAACAUCAUAUAGAUUUCUUUGACCAAGUGUAAUAAAGCAAAACACACGGACAUAGUAUGGAUAUGGACACAGCAUGGAUAUGGACACAAGCAACACUACCAGUCGUUUGAAACGAUGAAAUGGGCAACAAGUCGAUUUGUUUUUCAUCUAUCAAUCGUUGUAAUUCACAUGCAGCUACAAGACGACACGUUAUAUUUAGGGUGCAAAGCAGGUAGAGAUUUCAUAGGCAUAUUUCGAAGUACCAGCUUUAUGCCAAAACAUGCAUGCAUGCAAGAAACUCCAUAACUUCGUUUGCGCAACUCCUGCUUAUCGUCUUCUUUCUAUACCCAUGCUGUUGGAUCAAUGAAUGAACGUAGCAAUAGAUACAAGAUAUAGCGCCACACUUUUGAGCAUAUCCUAAUGACAGUAAUUCGUUUUGUUCUAAGCGACCAAGUAUUCGCUUGCAACACUAUAGUUCUCACUUUGAGGAAACAUUCCUUUGAUGCCCAUGUUCAUUCCACUUGGAUGACAGAAUCCUCGAUAGUAUUAGUAUUAAUGAAUUAACUGUCAGGAUGUGUUGUCGUUCUUGAAGUAAGUCUUGUGAAAGAAACCACCGAGUUAAAAAUAGAGAUCUUGAUGGUUUUAUAUAUAAAAGUUUAAUGCUUGCCUAUUUAUACAUUUCCCAAGGACUGCUGAGGUAGAUGCGUUGUUCAGUUGACUAGGAUUUGUUUGAAUUCAAAGAUUAUCUAUUCAAGUCUUCUUUAUACGUUUGCAUGUGUUUGAUAAGAAUUCCAUUGAUUCAGAAAAAAAGUGCCAACAGUUUUUCCAACUUGACUGACACUACAACCUUCCAAUCAUAGCCAUACUACUAUGGUAUAAAA
rnacentral:lncRNA from 1 species